UACGAAGGGGGCUAGCGUUGCUCGGAAUGACUGGGCGUAAAGCGCACGUAGGCGGACCGCUAAGUCGGAUGUGAAAGCCCUCGGCUUAACCGAGGAAGUGCAUUCGAAACUGACAGUCUUGAGUAUGGAAGAGGGUCGCGGAAUUCCCGGUGUAGAGGUGAAAUUCGUAGAUAUCGGGAGGAACACCAGUGGCGAAGGCGGCGACCUGGGCCAAUACUGACGCUGAGGCGCGAAAGCCAGGGGAGCAAACGGG
rnacentral:rRNA from 1 species